AUGAUACAAGCCAGCAGGUACGUGUUUUCCCUAUUCAGAGGAGCUAUUCUCCUGUCUGACUCCCCCUGCAGAGCGAAAGCUCUUUGUGGGCAGGGGGAAGCAUCACUUCUUUCUGUUGUACUUUCUCAAGCAUUUAGAACCGUAUACUGUAUUCAGGGGAUGCUCAACAAAAAUAAUUCCUCCUCUUUCUCCUCCUUCCUUUCCUCCUCCUCUUCCUUCUUCUGCUCAUCCUCCUCUUCCUCCUUCUCCUCCUCCUGCUUCUCCUUUCUUUCCUCCUCCUCUUCCUCCACCUUCUCCUCCUCUUCUUCCCCACCUUCUCCUCCUCCUCCUGCUUCUCCUUUCUUUCCUCCUCUUCCUCCACCUUCGCCUCCCCUUCUUCCCCCACCUUCUCCUCCUCCUCCUCCUCCUGCUUCUCCUUUCUUUCCUCCUCUUCCUCCACCUUCGCCUCCCCUUCUUCCCCUACCUUCUCCUCCUCCUCCUCCUCCUGCUUCUCCUUUCUUUCCUCCUCUUGCUCCACCUUCUCCCCCCCUUCUUCUCCCACCUUCUCCUCCUCCUCCUGCUUCUCUUUUCUUUCCUCCUCCUCUUCCUCUACCUUCUCCUCCUCUUCUUCCCCACCUUCUCCUCCUCCUCCUCCUCCUGCUUCUCCUUUCUUUCCUCCUCUUCCUCCACCUUCGCCUCCCCUUCUUCCCCCACCUUCUCCUCCUCCUCCUCCUCCUGCUUCUCCUUUCUUUCCUCCUCUUGCUCCACCUUCUCCCCCCCUUCUUCUCCCACCUUCUCCUCCUCCUCCUGCUUCUCCUUUCUUUCCUCCUCCUCUUCCUCCACCUUCUCCUCCUCUUCUUCCCCACCUUCUCCUCCUCCUCCUCCUCCUGCUUCUCCUUUCUUUCCUCCUCUUCCUCCACCUUCGCCUCCCCUUCUUCCCCCACCUUCUCCUCCUCCUCCUGCUUCUCCUUUCUUUCCUCCUCCUCUUCCUCCACCUUCUCCUCCUCUUCUUCCUCCACUUUCUCCUCCUCUUCUUCCUCCUCCAUGCAUCCCAGAGGACCU
rnacentral:lncRNA from 1 species